rnacentral:rRNA from 1 species
GACAGAGGUGCCAAGCGUUAGGCGGAAUCACUGGGCUUAAAGGGUGCGUAGGCGGGUUGCCAAGUCUGUGGUGAAAUCCUCCGGCUUAACCGGAGAACUGCCGUGGAUACUGGCGACCUCGAGGGGGAUAGGGGCUUGCGGAACUGUGCGUGGAGCGGUGAAAUGCGUUGAUAUGCACAGGAACUCCGGUGGCGAAAGCGGCGAGCUGGAUCCCUUCUGACGCUGAGGCACGAAAGCUAGGGGAGCGAACGGG